rnacentral:rRNA from 1 species
AUUGAACGCUGGCGGCAUGCCUUACACAUGCAAGUCGAACGGCAGCACGGGAGCAAUCCUGGUGGCGAGUGGCGAACGGGUGAGUAAAGUAUCGGAACGUGCCCAGUCGUGGGGGAUAACGUAGCGAAAGUUACGCUAAUACCGCAUACGAUCUAUGGAUGAAAGCGGGGGAUCGCAAGACCUCGCGCGAUUGGAGCGGCCGAUAUCAGAUUAGGUAGUUGGUGGGGUAAAGGCUCACCAAGCCGACGAUCUGUAGCUGGUCUGAGAGGACGACCAGCCACACGUGGACUGAGACACGGCCCAGACUCCUACGGGAGGCAGCAGUGGGGAAUUUUGGACAAUGGGCGAAAGCCUGAUCCAGCCAUGCCGCGUGCAGGAUGAAGGCCUUCGGGUUGUAAACUGCUUUUGUACGGAACGAAAAGGUUUGGGCUAAUAAGCUGAGCUCAUGACGGUACCGUAAGAAUAAGCACCGGCUAACUACGUGCCAGCCGCCGCUGUAA